rnacentral:rRNA from 1 species
AUUGAACGCUGGCGGCAGGCCUAACACAUGCAAGUCGAGCGAGCGGCGGACGGGUGAGUAAUGUAUGGGGACUGCCCGAUAGAGGGGGAUAACUACUGGAAACGGUGGCUAAUACCGCAUACUAUCGGAUAACCCAUAUGGGAUUAGCUAGUAGGUGGGGUAAAGGCUCACCUAGGCGACGAUCUCUAGCUGGUCUGAGAGGAUGAUCAGCCAGACGGGGAUGGAGACACGGACCAGACGCCAACGGAGGAAGCAGUGGUGAAGAUUGAACAAUGGGCGAAAGCAUGAUGCAGACAGGCCGCGGGUAUGAAUAAGGCCUUAGGGUUGUAAAGUACGUUCAGCGAGGAGGCGUUACCCGAAGAAGAAGCACCGGCUAACGCCGUGCCAGCAGCCGCGGUAAUAC